UACGUAGGGGGCAAACGUUGUCCGGAAUCAUUGGGCGUAAAGAGCGUGUAGGCGGUUCGGUAAGUCUGCUGUGAAAGUCCAGGGCUCAACCCUGGAAAGCCGGUGGAUACUGUCGGACUAGAGUGCGGAAGAGGCGAGUGGAAUUCCCGGUGUAGCGGUGAAAUGCGCAGAUAUCGGGAGGAACACCAAUUGCGAAGGCAGCUCGCUGGGACGUGACUGACGCUGAGACGCGAAAGCGUGGGGAGCAAACAGG
rnacentral:rRNA from 1 species